rnacentral:tRNA from 1 species
GGCGGAUGUAGCCAAGKGGAUCAAGGC